rnacentral:rRNA from 1 species
UCAAAUCAUCAUGCCCCUUAUAUCUUGGGCUUCACACGUACUACAAUGGCGGCCAUACAACGUGCAGCGACACGGCGACGUGAAGCGAAUCACUCAAAAGCCGCCUCAGUUCGGAUUGCAGGCUGCAACUCGCCUGCAUGAAGUCGGAAUCGCUAGUAAUCGCGGGUCAGAAUACCGCGGUGAAUGUGUUCCUGAGCCUU